AACGAACGCUGGCGGCAUGCCUAACACAUGCAAGUCGAACGAGACCUUCGGGUCUAGUGGCGCACGGGUGCGUAACGCGUGGGAACCUGCCCUUAGGUUCGGAAUAACUCCCCGAAAGGGGUGCUAAUACCGGAUAAUGUCUUCGGACCAAAGAUUUAUCGCCUUUGGAUGGGCCCGCGUUGGAUUAGCUAGUUGGUAGGGUAAAAGCCUACCAAGGCGACGAUCCAUAGCUGGUCUGAGAGGAUGAUCAGCCACACUGGGACUGAGACACGGCCCAGACUCCUACGGGAGGCAGCAGUGGGGAAUAUUGGACAAUGGGCGAAAGCCUGAUCCAGCAAUGCCGCGUGAGUGAUGAAGGCCUUAGGGUUGGAAAGCUCUUUUACCCGGGAUGAUAAUGACAGUACCGGGAGAAUAAGCUCCGGCUAACUCCGUGC
rnacentral:rRNA from 1 species